rnacentral:ncRNA from 2 species
GUGGUAGUGCAUGGCCGUUCUUAGUUGGUGGAGCGAUUUGUGUGGUUAAUUCCGUUAACGAACGAGACCUCAGCUUGCUAAAUAACUAUGUGGAGGUAACCCUCCACAGCCAGCUUCUUAGAGGGACUAUGGCCGCUUAGGCCACGGAAGUUUGAGGCAAUAACAUCUGCCAACAUAAUCU